UUAAUAAUGUAAACUACACAUGUGAUGUUAUACGGAAUAUUUCACAUCACAGAAAAAUGGAUAAGUACCAAUUUCUCAUUGCGGAAUUUCAUGACGGGUUACAAGUUAUACCCUCAGAAUGGUGCAAUGCCGAUAAAUUAUCAUGUAUAUGGCCUAAUCAUAUGAAAACUAAAUAUCGCAUUAACAAGGCCAUAUUGGCAAGAGAGAUGCCUCGAGAAAAAUCUGAUUGGGAAGAGUUACCAAUAAAAAGAAUUUUUGGUGGAGCAAAUAAAAAUAAUAAGGAAGCUGCUACGAAUAAUAUAAAGAUUCUUUAAGAUUCUUCUGAAAAUACUGAGAAAGAGUUCAAGAAACAGAUUAUAGGAAAAUUGAACAAAAUAUUAUAUAAAUUAGGCGGUAUAGAAAUCAAAAUUAAUAUGCUAGAGGAGAAAAUGCAAUUUUCCUGCCAUUCUUAUGAUAGUCAAGAUGAAUGUGAUAUUCAUUUCCCGAUUUCUACACUUACUGAAUUAAUAUCCUUUGAAGAUCAAUUACAGGAAAUCGAAUUUAAAGACAAAGUUCUUAAUGUUUUAAAACUUGUUGGUGGAGUUGAUGCACAUGCCAUGAUACGAAAUAUUAUGAAAAAAGUAAUAACAGACACUUUAGCUCAAAAUUUCAAUUGGACAGGAAAAAAAAAUAAGCGUAGCUUCAAAGAUUUAAAUCUUUCUAAAAUAAUUAUACAAGCUGUUCGUGUAAAACAUAAUAAUCUGACAGAUAAUGACAUUGCAGAAUACACAUCUAAAUGGCUGUCUCAAGCUACUGUAAGAGUUCAAAGAGAUGAAAAAAAACAUAUUCAGGAAGAAAAAUAAAAACUAGAAGAACAGGAAGAACUAAAAAACAGGAAGAAAAAAAUUAGAA